GAUGAACGCUGGCGGCGUGCUUAACACAUGCAAGUCGAACGAUGAAGCCCAGCUUGCUGGGUGGAUUAGUGGCGAACUGUUGAGUAACACGUGAGCAACCUGCCCCUGACUCUGGGAUAAGCGCUGGAAACGGCGUCUAAUACUGGAUAUGUCCCGUCACCGCAUGGUGUGCGGGUGGAAAGAUUUUUCGGUUGGGGAUGGGCUCGCGGCCUAUCAGCUUGUUGGUGAGGUAAUGGCUCACCAAGGCGUCGACGGGUAGCCGGCCUGAGAGGGUGACCGGCCACACUGGGACUGAGAAACGGCCCAGAAUCCUACGGGAGGCAGCAGUGGGGAAUAUUGCACAAUGGGCGGAAGCCUGAUGCAGCAACGCCGCGUGAGGGAUGACGGCCUUCGGGUUGUAAACCUCUUUUAGCAGGGAAGAAGCGAAAGUGACGGUACCUGCAGAAAAAGCACCGGCUAACUACGUG
rnacentral:rRNA from 1 species